rnacentral:rRNA from 1 species
UACGUAGGGGGCAAGCGUUGUCCGGAUUCAUUGGGCGUAAAGGGCGCGUAGGCGGCCGAUCAAGUUAGAUGUGAAAGUCCUGGGCUUAACCUGGGGACUGCAUUUGAUACUGAUUGGCUUGAAUUCGGGAGAGGAUAGCGGAAUUCCAGGUGUAGCGGUGAAAUGCGUAGAUAUCUGGAGGAACACCGGUGGCGAAGGCGGCAUCCUGGACCGGCAUUGACGCUGAGGAGCGAAAGCCAGGGGAGCAAACGGG